GCCAGAGGGGUUUUGAAAGGCUGCUUUCAACAAGCAGUAACUCGUCCUACAAGUACAUUCUUGUGGGUGGAGGAACAGCAUCCUGUGUUCUUGCAAAACGACUC
rnacentral:ribozyme from 1 species